rnacentral:lncRNA from 1 species
UUUGAUAUUUUGAAUGAGAUCCUGCAGGGGAAAUAAGAUCAUGUGGGAAACCUAAGGUGAUUGGAAUGAAGUGUGAACAUGUGUCAAUAGGAGUGUGCCAAUGUUGGUUCAUUAACUGUAAAUGCAUUAUCUCACAAACAGAAGGUGUUAAUAAUUGGGGAGGCAGACUACAUUUGAAGGUUUUUUUCCCCCUGCAAACUCAAAUUAUUCUGAAACUGUUUAAUAAUAAACAAAAUAAGAAAUUUUCUUAUUAAUACAAAAGGCCAAAGUGUACUGCCUUUUCUCUUUACCUCAAUUUUCGUCCCAUGAAGAUAGAAUUGUGGCACAUCCCACAGCUGCAAAGGAAUAUGGUUUGUUGUUAACAUCUUGCCAACUUAACUCUGCAAGCUGAAUAAUUCUCCAGCAAUUAAAAUUUAUCUAAAACACAUCACACUGUUAAUGCUGAUAACAUGACUAUGAGGUGGCAGAGAAAAUUUAAGGAGAAUGAAAAAGAACUUGUAAAGAAAAGACAUGGUGAAGAGCAGUGAUGCUACAGGCAGUUUAAUGAACCAGAGAAAAGGAAACUGCACAUUCUCUAUCUACACCACUCCCACCCUAUACCCAGAACCUUCAGUUUCCAUCAGCUGCAGCCGCUAAACCUUUCCAUUCAAUGCUAAAGAAAGGACCAACUGAUAGUGAAGAAAUUAAAACGUGUUCAUUAACGCUAGGUGUUCCAACAGACUCUUGCAUCAAGGAACACAGGUAGACCAUUUGUCCCACCCACCCUUCUGAACAGUCUGUAUAGGGGAGAGGUUUGUGGUUACUCUGAUCCCUGUCAUCACUAUCACAAAAAUAUAGCGACCCAUUAUAAUUAAAAAAGUCUACAAUGACAUCAGAACUGGCAUUUUCAGAUCCAUACAGACAUGAACUAAUAACAAGAAUAGCACAAUAUUCAAGAAAUAUAAAAAUAUAGGAAGGGAAAUAUUUACUCAAAAGACUGAAAGGGAAGCUAAUUAAAUGGAAAACAUCAAAAUGUCAGCCUUUUCUACCUUAAAACAUUUAAACUGGUACUGAAUUGAUUAAACUAUCUGUUGGUAGGUCUUAAGAAGAGAAUAAACAGCUAUAGCAAAGAUUUCUUGACAGAAAGAGCUUGAUUUAAAAAUCAGCAUAUUACCUCUCAUUACAUAACAGUAUGAACACUGAGAAAAACAAACACUGCCAUUAUUAUCAAAGAGGAAAAAUAUAGGAACCCUAUAUCAUUGCUUUUUGUUGUUAUGAUAAAAUAUCAUGACUGUAAGUGAAUCAUGAAAGAAAUAAUUUACUUUUGCUUAAGGUUUCUGAGGAAGAGUCUAUAUGGUGAGAAAGCAUGGUAGCAGGGGCUGUAGAAGGAAGCUGGGAGAUCAUGUCUUAAACCAAAAGCACAAGGAAGAGGGAGAAAACUGGAGUGAGGCAAGGUUGUUGAUUCACAAAUCCUGCCCAACUAAUGUACUACUUCCAGCACAGCCAUAACACCUCUCCAAGAGGUACCACCAACUGGGGAUGCAGUGUCCCAGUACAAGAGUCUGUUAGGGAUAUUCUUAUCCAAACCACAAGUCCCUAAAAAAGACUAGACAUCAUGGGCAGACUUGGGGAAAUCAUUGUCUUCAGGGAAGCACUCUGAAAGAAUAGAAUGGAUUAAAUGCAUUUGUUUAUGUGAUAAAUAGCAUGGCCAAAAGCAACUUGGAGAGGAAAGGGUUUAUUUCAACAUCACCUAGGGACACCAAGGUGGGAACUUGAAUCAGAAACCAUAACAAAAUACUGUUUAAUAGCUUGCUCCCUCUAUCUUGCUUAACUACUUUGAUAUAUAGCCCAGAUCCAACUGUCUAAGGAUGGCCCCACCCACAGUGUCCUGGGCACUAUUCAUUCCAUCAUUGAGCAAUUAAGAAAAUGCCUCAUAAACAAAGCCUGAGAACUUCUUUAGUUGAAGGAAGGUCUGUCUUCUCAGGUAACUCUAGAUUUGUGUCAAGUUGACAGCUGAUGCUAACUAUGGAACUGGUGAAAGCAAUUAUUAAAGACAUAAAAGAAUAAUGGCAGAGCUGAUCACCCAAAACAAAACUUGUCCUCACUUUGAAAUAAAAUCUCACUUAUACAUGUUUGUGCCGAUGGUCCUGAUUUCUAAGAAUUGUGAGGGAAAUAUUUUAUUAUCUCAACAGACAAAUGGAUGUUUUAACUUUUAAAAAAGUACAUUUAAAUAAGAAGGAAGUAAGUUCAAUAAAAUAGGAGAAAUGGUAGAGGUGUUAGGAAGUAAAGCAUGUAUGUUAGAGAUUAAACACUAAAGACUAUACCUUCAAGAGACCCUUGAUAAACCUGAUCCGAAAAGCAGUAGUGAGUUAUUAAAAUAAAAUACCUAGUACCAGAAAUACCUUAUAUGUAGUUGAUUGUUGGGGAGGUCACAGAGUCCCCAAAAACAGUGCAAAGUCUUACCAUUCCUUCAGAUUGCCCUCCAGAAUUAAUAAGACUUUUUAUUGAAGACACCACACACCUUGGUUGCAUUUCAUUAAGUUUUAACAAAAAAAACAAUAAAAAUAAUAAGUGGGAAACUACCUGAGAGCCCAAACAAUGGCAAAGAAGUAUGGAGAGCCAGCAUUAAAAACAAUAGAAGAAUACAACCCAGAAAAAAAAAUUUACUUAUGUCAGGGAUUACCUUGUCUAAUGUUAUGACCAUAAAACAAAAAUUUAAAUAAUUUCAAUAAGUUGCUAGGAAGACAUAAGGAUGAAUUCACACUUCAAAAAAUAAGCGAGGAAGAAACUGCAAGCCAGACAAACUUGAAAUGUAUUAUUCAUAUAACACAAGAAUUAAUAUCUAGAACACUUAUGACUUUUACAGAACUCAACAGCACAACCUCCAAUAAUCAAAUUUAAAUGAGGACAAAAAUUCUUAAUAGGUAUUUCUCAGAAGACAUGUAAAUAGCAACAAGCACAUGAAAAACUGGAGACUAUCAUGAUUGUUAGGGAAGUACAUAGACUGUCUCACCCCAGGUAGAAUGCUUAUAAUCAAAAACACAAAACACAAUGAAUGCUGGUGUUGAUGUGAAAAGGGGAGAGCUCCUAUAAAACAUUGGUGAUAAUGCAUAUAAAUUAUUUCAGUGUUAUGGAAAACAAUGUUGAACUUCAUUUUUAAAUAUUUGUAAGUGGACCUGGAGAUUUGGUUCAAUGUCACAGUGCAUGCUUAGUGUAUGCAAGGCCCUGGGUUUAAUUUCCAGCACCACAGAUAAGUUAAUAAGGGAAAAUCAUUUAUGAUCUAGCAACUCCUCUGGAAAUAUAUACUCAAAAGAAAUGCUAUCAGCAAGUUGAGAAGAUGCUUGCACUGGUAUUUGUGCUGCAGCAGUAUUCACAAUGUCCAAUACACAGAAUCAACCAAGGCAUCUAUCUGUGGAUGGAUGGUUAAAAUGUGACAACAGACUAAAUGUAUGUAACAGAAUACAUACAUUUGAGACAUCAGGAAAUUGAAGAACAUCCUAUCUAGCAACAUAGAUGAGGAGCAAAGGACUAACACCAACCACUGUUCUCACUCACAUGUAGGAACUAAUCAUUCUCAGAAGAGAGAAGAAUAAUGGUCACUAGGGACUGGAAUGGAGUAAGAUACAAAAGGAGAGGAUAGACAGAAAGCAAUUAGACAAAGCUCAACAAAGUAGGUGGAAUACACUCUGGUAAUCCACUGUUCACUAUAAUGUGUAUUUCAAAACAGCUAGGAGAACUAAUGUUUCCCUACACAGAAAUGCUUGAUAUUUGAGAUGAAAAUGCCAGUUAUCCUAAUUUGAUCAUUAUGCAUUGGAUAAAUGUAUGGAAUUAUAUAUAAACACUGUCUUAAUGUGUUAUUAUUGGUGUCUUAACGCCACUGAGAUUUGAAUGCAGAUGACGAGUGAUGCCCUUGAUACUGUCACCUGUGUUGAUCUGAGCAAAGCAACCCUGGGCAGAGACAACAAGGAUGUUGUCUCACCACAGGUUGUAGACAAUCACACAAGCAUCUGGAUGCCCAGAACUGUGAGUAGAAGCCAGGUAUAACACUUCACUCUAUAUUUACCAACAACUAGUCUGGGCUGCACUCAUGGGAGGUGGGUAAUGCUGGACCACAGAGCCAAUUUCAGCCAGGAGCAAAGUCCAGCUGUACUCUCACCAGCAAGCACUGCAGGCAACUUCAAAGUGAAUGCCGCCAUAAUGAGACCCAAGUUAGGUGGUGCCCACUAAAUGAUCCAUCUAUUAAUUAAGUCAGACUGAAACACAGCCUUACAGAAAAAUUUAUUGCCAGUGCAACAUUUACAUCUCUAUAAAACAGGGUCUCAAUUAAUACCCACCAGCAAUGCUUGCAUACUUUUCUUUUUACUCUGUUGGUUAUCCUUACUUGCCCAAUGAACAAUUGUCUGUUCUCUGAACUCUGAGCCUCACUCUCCUGACUUCUCGAACUUUUGGUUCUGUCACCCUCUUGAUAGAACACUCUGCCAUUUUAUUCUGCAUCAUCAAAUUCCAGAAUGCAUUCUCUGUGGACAAGAACUUAGGUGUGAAUCUAAAAAGAUUUUUAUAAACAUACAUCUGCAUUCAUUUAAUAGGAAGAGGACCUGGACAGACUUGUGUGUUUUAAGCCAUAAUAUCUCUCAGAUGUUAGCAACUGUAUUUAUUUCCCUGGUUAUCUCUCUGAGGACAAAAAUCCCUCAUACCACUGUCCCCUGUAAUGGUAAGCUCAUGAACUUACACUAGAUAGAGAGGUCACCAAGGAAGUAGUGUUUUAUUAAAACUAAUUUAUAUUAUAACAAAUCUCAAUAAUUAAAAGUCACUUUUAAAAAGACAGCAUUUUAAGGAUAAAUGGUAUUAAGGCACAGUGUGGGGGGAUAUGUACCUGCAAAACUGUAUGCUUUGGGAAGGGCAAAUAUGCUUUUAUUUUAAAGAACAUGCAUUUUUAAAUAACUUUGUAGUUGAGUCUAAGUGGCUGAGUUAUCCAAAAACUGAAAGACCCCCGGAGGCUCAGGCCCCUAGGAUCUCAGUCCAGGAAAGCGGCCACCGGAAUCACCAUGCGGAGGCAAAAGCUUGAUGCAAACAGCAAGAGGUUAUUGCAGUUGAUUAACAAGCUAACCCCAUGUUAGCUCGGGCCUUUCAUCCAUCCACCAUGGUAGAUGGCUAGGAAAGAUGAGGUGAAGCCACGGCAUAGAGAUCUUAUAGGGCAGCAUAAGGGGAGUAUCUAGGGGUAUGCACAGGUUCAAGAUUGGUGUGCCUCCAGGCUUGGAGGGUUUGUCCUUUGCUGAUUGGUCAACUGGUUGUUAUGGCCCAUAGGCCCUCCCAGGGUGGUUGCUAUGCUCUGCACGUCAUUGCUGUGCUCUUGUCCAUAAAGCACACCCAGAGCGGUAAAGCAUAGCAUCACCAGCUAACUUCUGAUUGGUUCCUUGCCAGGAGGCAGGCAUCUGACCUCCUAGUGAACAAGGCAAGGUCAGGCAAGCACGUGCUAGGCUGUUAUGGCUCCUAAAAUAGGGAGCUGGUCCCUUCAAAACAAAAUUUUUAGUUUAUCAGGAAAGGACCCGAUAAUCUGUCCACCCUCUAUUGUUUUUAAAUUGUUUAUAGAGACUGUUGUCUGUGUUAAAUUGUUCUUAGCUGAAAUGUUUACAAGUUGUUUUAUGACUUGGUAUGUUUAUCCUUGGUAAUGACUUGAAAUCUUCUAUAAUAUUAAGUGAACUUUGAAGCUACUUUCCAUAAAUCUAAGACACAUCUUAAUUUUAGAGAGCAGAUAGGGUUUUAAGAGCUUUUAAAAAUUACUCCCCCAGAUUUGUGCUGUUUUAGAAUUAAAGCUGUGGUUUCAAUGUAUAGACCUCAUCUGGUUUUCAAUAUUUCUUUCAGUUUUUGUCUCCAUCAUUGCUGAUAAACUUUCAAGGUCCCUGGCUUAGUAUUUUGGCAGCACUGUAGGACUGUUAUUCUUGGUAAUAUCUAUUCAUAGAAGGUGUGUGGUAUUUAGUUAUCAUACUCUGAAAAUCCUUCAUGAAAGUAAAGCCACUGACUUUAUUGAAUACCUAUUAUGUACUGAAGUAUGAGGAUAGAACAGAGAUGUCCCAGUGAAAACAUAGUUCCUCCAUGUAAUAUUUUGUACAAUUGCUUCCUCUUUGGUCAGUCAAAUUAAGAGGAUUGUUACUACAGUAAUCAGGUAGAAUUCAUAUGAUCUCUAUUUAUGCUGUUAGAAAUACAACGGACAUAAUAGUUUAUUGGCAAUCAAAUAUGUUUGUUGGUCUGUCAGGAGCCAAGAACUAUUCUUUUAGAGAGUUUCUUGGGGUCCAAAAAACCUCCAGUUCCAGUAACGGGGAGCUUCAGUCUACAUUGUAUUGCAGAUGCUAGCUAAUCUGCUAUUGAAUAGCAUAGCCUCAGUGGAGAAUGUCUCCUCGUUUGCAUCUCUACAGAACUAAGCAUUUGAAUAGGCCUGCACCAGGGUGCAGGGCUAAGUCUACUUGAGAGUGAGAACAGAUAGUUAGGAGGUAUCUGGCAGAGAGGUCGAGUAGAGGAGAGACCAUAGAGAGAUCUGCUGAUAGAGUCUAGGAAGAUGAGAGAGAAAUGGCCUCGUGGUCAUGGAAGUAUGGUUAGAUUACAGCCAGGAAGAUGCUGAAUAAAGAAGAGACUCCAGUUUUGCAGCAUGGAACUUCGAGCUCUCUAAAGAUGACAAGAUAUCUGUGUCUGGUCUUUAUUGCCAUUAGGUUGCUAGGAGUUUCCAAGUCCAUGCUCCCCUACUCAGGCCGAACUUGUGGCUCCUGUGGUUUGGGGCUGAGACAUUCCAGGCCAAGACACUGGUCAAUAAUUAGGAAGUUUGUCAUUUAUAUAAAAUGUGAUUUAUAUAGAGCCUGUUAAAGCUAAUGGGAAAACCAAUACAUAUUAAAAUUUACAAUUAGUGUAAAACAACCUGUGUUACAGUGUAUGUUAACCAAGGAUUUAAGGAAGAGUAUGUUGGCAUAAUGAUGAUGAUGAUGAUGAUGAUGAUGAUGAUGAUGAUGAUGAUGUUGAAGGAACCAGCUUCCCUUUCGGCAGCCAUAACAGCCGAACAUGUGCUUCUAUGACCUUGACCUAGUCACUAGAAAGUCAGAUGCCUGCCUUGUGACAAGAAACCAAUCAGAAGUUAGCUGGUGGGUGGCGCUAUGCUUUACGACCCUGGGUGUGCUUUACGGACUAGUGCACAGCAAUGACGUAGAGAGCAUAGCAACCACCCUGGGAGGGCCUAUGAGCCAUAACAACCAGUUGACCAAUCAACACAGGGCAAGCCCUCCAAGCCUGGAGGCACACCAAUCGUGAGCCUGUGCGUACCCCUAGACACUCCCCUUAUGCUGCCCUAUAAAGAUCUGUACACAGCGGCUUCAAACCGUCUUUCUAGCUAUCCGCCAUGGCGGUUGGAUGAAAGACCCGAGCUAACAUGGGGUUAGCUCGUUAAAUUACAAUAAAGCCUCGAGCAGUUUGCAGCAAGCUCUCGAAUCCGCCUGGUGAUUGGGGUGACCGCGAAUGUGGCCUGGGACCCCGAAUACUUGAGUUUUCAGGGGGUCUAACAAUGUCAAUAAUAACCAGUCUCUUAUACCUCUUCUUGUACUAUGAAAAUCCUGUGGGUUCUCUUCAUUUUGCUAUUCCUAUAUCAUAUUGGCAUAUUCUAUAACCCAAAUUCAUGAAAGAUCCAUUCAUACACAUUCAUUAGAAAAUGGUGUAUUUCAGCUGGGUGGUAGUGGUGCAUACCUUUAAUCCCAGCACUUCAGAGGCAGAAGCAGGAAGAUGUCUGUGAGUUUGAGAACAGUCUGGUUUACAAGAGCUAGUUCCAGGACAGGCUCCAAAGGUGCAUAGAAAAACCCUGUCUUGGGAAAACAAAAAAAGAAAGAGAGAAAGAAAGAAAGAGAGAGAGAGAGAGAGAGAGAGAGAGAGAGAGAGAGAGAGAGAGAAGGAAGGAAGGAAGGAAGGAAGGAAGGAAGGAAGGAAGGAAGGAAGGAAGGAAGGAAGGAAGGAAGAAAGAGAUAUUAAAAGAACAUGGUGUAUUCCACAUCUCCUAUGGACUACAGAAUGGGAAAGAUUUGCAAGAUAGUGGUAAAUAAAUGAGAGUUGUGUCUAUGUGCUGCAAGACAAGAGAAGCUGUGCUUAGAUCUUGAGCAGGCUUAUUUUGUUGAUGUAACCUCUGAACUACAUUGGAAUGAAAAGGAGAGAAUGAAAAUUCCAACAAAAUCAUAUUUGAGAGUAUUUUUAUAUUGCAGGCACAACCACACAACUGUAUAAAGAGACUAACUAUCACCUGGACAACAAAGGAGGAAAUUUUUGUAUUGUUUUGUUUUGUUUUGUUUUGUUUUUGAGACAGGGUUCUUAAGCUCUGGUUGUCCUGGAACUAGCUCUGAAGACCAGACUGGACUCAAACUCAGAGGUCUGCCUGCUUCUGCCUCCUGGGUGCUGGGAUUUAAGCAUGUGUCACCUCCAUGUGGCCAAAAUGGAAAUUUUAAUUCCAGUUAAGCAGGAAAGAUUAAACUUACAGAAGAGGUAACCAUUUUACUGGCCUUUUGGAAUCUAACCAAUGACCUCAUGAUGCAAAGCAAGUGUUCUACCAGUGAAACACAGCUGUCGCUCUUGUUUUUAGUUAAGACUGGAUCACAUAAUGUCACUCAGCAGGACUGAACUCACUAUGUAGCCCAGGCAGGGCUCAACUUUCUAAUUCUCAUGCCUCUGCCUCCCAGAUUCUAGGAUUCUAGUAAUGAGUUUUCAGUCUCUUAAAAAAGUUAUUGAAUUUGGAUACAGCGAAGCCAGUAACAGAGUCUAUUCUUAAUACGUUUGCAUUGGAAAAAUAAGUGAAUAAUGGACCAAGCAUUCUAGAGAAAGAAUGAUGCAAACAAAAGAACACACAUGAGGAUACACAGGCCACAUUUGAAUAGAUGAAUAAUUUUCCUUUGUUAAGUGUCCUUCAUUAUACUCAGUGAACACCGAUUGGCACAGGAAGACCAAGGCACUAAGGAAAAUAUGUUUAAAGAUAAACAGGCCUAGUCUUAAUGAAACAGAUUGACAAAAGUGUCCUUCAUCACUAGAGGUUACAUAAAUAAAAUGUUCUGACUCUAAAGAGUGUGGUUCUGUUCAUUUGUGCACUGCCAACGACCUUGGUCAAACCCACAGUUUAAUUUCAACCCUGUGAGAUGGGUGAAAUACUGAAAGGAACCUCCUACUUCGUAUUUCCAUGAUAUUAAUUCUAAACAGUCCCAAGAAGAAUGUUUGAAGGAAUAACUAUGUCAAAUAUGCCAAAGAAGCUGCAUUAUCAGAUGAAGGACUCCUCACACUUAUUUUAGAGCACACUCAUUUUAUUCUGUGUUCAAAGUUAUGAGGAUUUGAGACUUCAGCCUGGAUAGCAUUGACUGUCAGAUGAGGGACUUCAUUCUCAGAUGUUAAAACCCAUUGAGUCAAUUCCACAGAAGUGCUUGCACUAGAAGAGGACAUGGCAUGUGAUAAAGCUAGAAGAGGAGAACUGGUUCUCUCAUAAAAAGAUAAGGUCCUUCUUGGAAGUAGACAGGUGGAUUGUACUUGGUGGAGGAAAAUACCAGCAAGAUAGUGAAAGAACAUGUCUCUGUGAGACUGUAUCUCCUAUGCCACCUUUCUUUUGGAAUCAGCAUGACACCACUUCUGUGAACACCAAGGCCUGAAGGAUUAAAUAAUAACAUUCAAAUCAUGAAAUGCAAAAACAGUAGAGGCCAGACUUAAACUCAGUUUUACUUCUGCCUAGUCCAUUCUCAGUGACAUCAUGCUGCCUUAGUUUCUUCUCUACUGCUGUAGUGUAAUACUCUGCCACAAGCCAUUUGCAGAAGGGUUUAUUUAGCUAAUAGUUUUGGGUUACCAUCCACCCUAGAGAAGUCAGGGCAUAAAGUUUGAAUCAACUAUAAUCACACACACUGAGUGGAGGUCAGAAAAGAGCAAUGAAUGCAGACUCAUAUCCCACUCACUUUAUCCACUUGUACAACCUAAGUACUGUCCACAAUUCAAAUGACUCUUUCUACUUCAAUUAAAAUAAGAUAAUUUUACUCAGGCAUGCUCAAAUUCCCAUGCUGUGGGUGAUUCAAGAUUUUUGUCAAGUUGAUGAUUUACAAUAUCACAACUACCUGGCAUAUUUUAAUUCUGGGGGCAUCACCUCUCUACCUGUUUACUCUGUGCAUACAACUUAAACUUACAUUAGCAAAGGACCAUGUGAUAUUUGAGACAUGGGAAUACACUGUCACCUAGACUCUGGGAAGGAGCACACUUUCUCCAACAUUACUGUCCAGAGCCAAAGAAGUUCAAUGGGGCUGCUCAGGUAACCAGCUAAACAGAGAGAUCUAUGGUGCUAACACUUCAGUCCAUCCUCCAACUGCAUCAUCACCUGUGAGUUUACAUAAGAUCCAAGUAUGGGGUUUAGUGAGAUGACUUAGUAGAUAACAGGCUUGUGGCACAAGCCUAUUGACCUGAGUUUGAACCCCAAAAUGCACAUAAAGGUGGCAAGAGAAAGAAAAGGACAGGGAGAGAGCCCAGUGGAUCUGGUGGGAAAAUCCCCAUUAGUCAUUUUUGGAGUUGUAUCCACAUAUGUCUCUUGGCAGAAGCCAGUUGGUUUCAGAAGCUGCAGCUGUGUUCUAGAUGCUGAAACUGAGGAAGGCAAAGGCCAUCAUUAGUCAAUCACUGGAAUUCAGGAGUGAUUUCCCAGAUGGAUGUCUAGUAAGAGGACUUCAAAGGAACACACAAACCAGUUACAUAAGACAACCUGUCAGUGGCAUCUGUAACCUUGUAUUGCUCAGUGAGCAUCAGCUCCAAGCAAACUGCCUAUCUUAAGAAAAAAAUUGUCAAUAUUUGUGAUUCUUGCUUCUGUUUCAAAUAGUUCAAUAUACAGAGCAUUGCAGAGGAAUAAAAGAUAAUAAAAUGUUAGGGGUUGUAUAAACUGACCCAGGAUAUUCCAACUAAAAACAUGCAAGCCUGAGUCAGUUCUAAAUUGCAGGCUAGAAUGGAGUAGAGGCCAGAAGGAGGCUUUAAAUUCAACAUUUUGUAUUUAUACUAAUCUGGUAUGUUUAACACCCCUAAGAUCAAGUCAGAUAAUGGUGAGGGAGGGACAUGUGACAAAGCCUGACCAGAGGAGUGACAGGAGGAAAGCUAGGUUUUUCAUUCCUUGAAACAUAAAAUAUCAAUAAACUAACAACACAGGCUUAAUACCAUAUCAAUGUUAAAAAUGUGAAUUUGAGGAAUAUGAAGUAAUUCAAUUUUAAUAAAAUUAGUUUGGAUAGAACUUGGAAUGCAGGGGUCAUAGUGAACGAGAGAUGCUAUUACUGUUGUUCUAUAUGUUAUUACAAAUGUGAAUUCGGUAGAAGAGUAUAUAUAUAUAUAUAUAUAUAUAUAUAUAUAUAUAUAUCACUGCUAAGUGUCAAAAUUACAAGUCAACAUGAUUCUGCUUGGUUAUUUUAGAGCCCCGUAAGUAAUAUGAUAAGGGUUGACUUGGGAAAACUGGUUUGGAUACUGGGAAAGCUGAUAUACAUAAUACAUAUAUCACAAAUACACAUAUGUCCUACCAUAUGUUCUGAAUUGGUUUACCACUAAACAGAAAGACAAUUUACUAAACCCACAGUAUAGAGUAGUAAAGUUACGAAUAGUUUGAUUUUUUUUUUUUUAGUUUAGUUACUAUUCAGGAGAAAUGAAAGAUAAGUACUCAAAAAAGAAAUGUUCUGCCGGGUAUUGGUGGCACAUACCUUUAAUCCCAGCACUCAGGAGUCAGAGGCAGGCAGAUCUCUGUGAGGUUUGAGGCCAGGCUAGUCUACAGAGCGAGUUCCAGGACAGGCUCCAAAACAAUACAGAGAAAUCCUGUAGAGCAGAAAGGAUAUGUGAUCCGGUAAGGUUGGGGGUGAUGGUGGUAGGGGAGAACAAGAGGGAGAAGGGAACUGGGAUUGUCAUGUAAAACAAUCUUGUUUCUAAUUCAAAUAAAAAAAUCUGGAAAAAAAAGAAACCCUGUCUCAAAAAAACAAAAUAAAUAAAUAAAUAAAUAAAUAAAUGAAAUUUUCUUUCUUAAUUAUAGAGAAAUAUAUAUAAUAUUUAUAAGAAAAUGAAAGGAAAUUUUGAUUAUAUUGAAUAAAAUACAUAUGAAUAAGAAAGACAAAUGACUAUUUCUCUCAUGUGAAAUCUAGACUUCAAAAAAAAUAGAUAAAGCUAAGGGGAGGGUUGUAGUUACAACCCAGCAGUUGGAAGCAAUGUUUGCUCUUGUAGAGGACCCAAGUUCAAUAUCAAGUACAUACAUUCAUCUACAAUCUUCAGGGAAUCUAAUGCCCUCUUCUGGUAUCCAUGGAUACCUGCAUUUCCACUCACAAAAGUCCGUAACACAUACACACACACACAUACACACACAUACACACACACACACACACACACACACACACACACACACACACACACACACGCACGCACGCGCACACACACACACACACACACACACACACACUUAUAUUAAAUAUAAAAGGGUUUGUUUGAAAAAAUACAUGGUAUGAAAAAUGAUAGCAAUAUACUUAUCAGAAUAUAAGAAUUGAAAUACAUUAUGUACAUGUCUUAAAAUGUCAUAAGGAGCCCCACUAUUGUGUAAAAUUGUUAUAUACUAGUUUUUAAAAGGGAUUCAGAUUAUAGAGUCAUUUUUUCUUUCCCUUUAUGCACGACUGCUUUUACAAUCUCUGCUAGUGAAGAGACUGCCAGGAAAUGUCUGGGUAGAAAUCUACUCAUGUUGCUGCUGUCAAGCAAGGCUCCUUGGGGGAAGAGAUGAAACGUUUAUGUUCAAGUUGCCUGCAUGAGGGUUAACAGGGUGAUCGCUUCAGCUAACCCAUGCCAUGCAUAACAUGAAAGUCCUUUACAAGUAGAGGGCACCUGUUUUCAGGACUGGAAGAUGGAUUGGCAUUAUAUAUUUUAUUAUUAAAAAGGUGACGCUGGAGAUGAUUAAGUUUCUAGGAGCCAGCCAGUGCAUCAGAUAAGAGGUGGCUGGCUUUGACUGGGUAAUUUCACUACUGUGUAGCAAUCUGAAAAUGAGAAAAAUGUCAUGUCCAAAGAAAUUCAUCAAACCUUUUUUUUUCCACCAUGAAAUAUUUGCUAGCAACAUAAAGCCAACAGCAUGACUCAAGUAACAGAAAUAAGGCAAAGAUUCCAUAAGAAAAUCAAGUAGAAAUUUGCCAUUACUAGAGAUAUAAGGAUGAGUAAGAGGGAUCACUUUCCCCAAAUUUUAACUAUAUGUGAUCCACAUGCCGUGACAUUGUUCAUGCAAAAAAACAAAACAAAACAAACAAACAAACAAACAAACAAAUAAUGCUGGCCAAGGACAAUCAGAGUUCUAACUUUUAUUUUCUUCUGACCUCCCCACAUUAUCUACUAAUAACUAUGCUUCUCUUUUAAAAAUAGGAAAAGAAUGUAAUAUUUUAGAAGUGAUUUUAAUAAAAUGGCCACAAGCAUUCCAACUCUAUAGGAGUAUCGCAGACUGCAAUGGGAAAUAUCAGCACAUGGACACUGGAUUCUCACAUUUCAUACCCCUGCUAUCAUUCUCUCAGUAACUCAGACUUAUUCAUCCAUAUGUCUCCAAUUUAUCCUCCUGGAUAACAGUGCUCUGUGCUUUGAGUAUAUGAGGAUUGGUAAACCCCAUCAUUCAAUGGUUUCAAAUACUGCCUUCAGGUAAUCACUUUAUUCAAAAAUUUUAUUUAGACAUAUAAACAUUCAAUAGUUCUUCAUUGUUCUUUCAUGGUGUAAUGAAACAGUCUAUGCUUAGCCCUACCCUUUCCAGGUCUGGAAAUACAGGAGAGAUGUCCUGCCAUGCCAUACUUUACAAUCACCUACUUAUUUACAUAGAACUCUUUUGUCUCCAGGGGAAGCAAAUUGUACAACCAACUAAUAUGUAAGUCCUCUAUAGGUAGGAAGCCUAACAUUUUGAAAAUUUAAAUCAUAUAGGAGCACAGACAGUAGUAAAUCUAUUUUUCCUUCCUCUGGAAAACUUGGAUUUAUACUGCUGUGUUCAGCUUCAGGCACAACUAUAGAUUAUUAACUUAAUACCAUGCCCAGAGUUAGUUUUUAUUUAUUAAGGUUUUACUAAAAAAGAGCUAAUACUUGCCUUAUUUUAGACUCUCAUAGCCCAAAUCCUAACAUCAAAAAGUAGUUCUAUUUGAAAAGUAUCCUAUGUACUUGCUGAUCAUACAAUGAUGUUUGUUUAUAAAGCAAGCAAUAUUUAACUAAAAGCAGUAAGACCAUACUUAGAAAUUCAAAAACUUAAGAUAUCAUAGUCAAUAAACAGAGCACAUUUCGGAGCCACUGCAGGGCACAAGCUCAGAGAGUAUUGUCAGUGCAGAUAUUUGUAGAUCCCUACUGGGUUUUGAAGGGUGGGUUGGAUUUUUCUGUAAAGAAUGUUCAGAUACUGGAAAUCCAGCCAAAAGCAAAUAACAAAAUUUAUAAUGAUAGGAGUACAUCUUUACACACCUGCUCCCUUGAAAGCUGUUAUAAUGGAAAACAAGAUGUUACAUAAAAAAAUCCCUUCUCUUUGUAGUUGUUUUUCCCAUGGCUGUGACCAAAUGUAUGGCUAGAAGUGACUUUAGCGAAUGAGGAUAUUUUGGGUUCAUGGUUUGGGGCACAGUCUGUCAUGGUUCAGAUUGCUGCCAGCUGUCAUCUGGAUGGAUUAUGAAACAGAAGAAAGAAAGAAAGAAAGAAAGAAAGAAAGAAAGAAAGAAAGAAAGAAAGAAAGAAAGAAAGGAAGGAAGGAAGGAAGGAAGGAAGGAAGGAAGGAAGGAAGGAAGGAAGGAAGGAAAGAAAGAGGGAAGGAAGAGGGAGAGAAAGACCAACUGACCAACACCUAGAUGGCUUUCUUCUUCCACCUCACUCAGUACAGGAGCCCCUCCCAUAAGAGGAUGUCUCUUACACUCAAGAUGAAUCUUUUUCCUUCAAUUAAUCUCUAAAAAAGAACUCACAGACACACGCCAAAGCACACCUCAUUAUAACACUAGUGCUUUCUUCAUUCAAUCCCUAUGACAAUAAAAGCUCACCAUCACACAAUUGACAUGAAAGUACAACCUGUUACCUUGCCAGGCUAAUCUCUAUAUCCUUCCAAUUUUAGUGUGCAUACUAUAAAUGUGAGUAUUGUAAUCAAUUCCUAUUUCAUCUUCCAGAUCUCAAAACUGCCAGAUACCAGGAGUAUGGUUCAGUGCUCAGCUGUGGGUGCCUGUCUCUGCUUCAAACAGCUACCAGAUAAAGGCUUAUGUUUAUUUUUUUGUGACCAGUUGUGGAGAGGGAGGAGGUAUAAGCAAAGGAGCCAAGAUGGUGCUGAAGAAACCCGCAAAAACAGUUGACCUGACCUAAUGAGCAUGUGGGUGCCAGCUAGGAGGCCAGGGCAGUCUAAGGGACCUCUAACAGUGGAGCCAGUCUUUAACCCUGGAGCACAAAUAGACUUUGGGAGCCCAUUCCCUGUGGAGGGAUACUAUUGCAGCCCAGAUACAGCAAAAAGGGCCUAGGCCCUCCCCCAAAUGAUAUGACGACAUUGAAGGUCCCCUGUGGAGGGCCUCACUAUCCCUGGGGAGGAGUUGGGGGAUCGACUGGGGGGAGGUUGGUGGGGAAUAUAGGAGGAUGGGAGGGCAAGGGCUAGAAGGGGGAUGGAUAUGUAAAUAUAAGUAGUAAUUAAAGAGUGAAAAACAAAACCUGCCAGAUAAAACUUGAAUCAACAUAUACCCAAUCAAUUGAGUUACACAUAAUUAUAUAAAAUCAUGCAUCACACACACAUAUAUGUAAACAACAAAUAAGAAAGAACAUACUGCUGCAUUUCCCACCCAUAAUUAUUGACAAAGUCCUAGUGAAGAAUAACUUCUUUCUUUUACCACUAAGUUUGUCCUUCAUUCUUGUCCUGAUUAAUACCUGCUUAGGAUUCUUUUCCUGAAGAAUCUUAUAUGUAAACUCUUCACCCAUUUUACUCAUCAGAAAUAAAAUCAGUCCUCCCCAAGUAGCGCUAUGUGAGGUCAUAUUUAACCAAUGACAAUUUAACCAAUGAAACCAUUGUUUAGUCUCUUGUCAGAAGGGUUUCUUCCCCUUGAAGUCUGGGGUGAAACAAGAAGGGAUUGGAAGCUAUUAGAAUACAAAGAAAAAAACAAACAAAUAAAUAAGCCGUAACGAGAAGUGGAGAGUUACCCUCCAUCUGCUGCUUGUUUCCUAAGCAAUGUUUCUGCUUUUGAAGUGGUGUCAUAUGUUAGCUGUUCUCUAAGAUGGCCAUCACUGUUGCUUGGUCAUAGUUAAUCCUGUGGUGGGUCAUUCCAUGUUCUGUUCAUCUCAAGGUCUGUAGAGUGAAAGAGUAUAUAAAAAGGAUAGUGUGGUUUAGAAGUUCUAGCCUGGUACCUGUGUUUCUUAUAUUUGAACCUAGUUUCUUGGUCAAAACAAGUGUGACUUUUUUGAGAUCCCAUAUGAUAAGGUCUGCAUAAUGUAGAGGUCUAGAAAGGUCAAUUCAUUUCUAAAGUAAUUAUUACAAAUAGGAAAUCUAAUCACACUCCAUUCUGGAUUGAAUCCAUUGCAAUCAAGCUGUUACUAGAUGUCCAUCUGGUUCUCUUAGAGAACAUUUCCACUUACCAGAUCCCAGUACCAGUCUGUGCUGUUGGAAAGUGAGGAAAUCAGAAAUGGUAAUAGCCACACCAUCCUUGGUGAGAUAAUUCAUGCCUCUGACCUAUAUACAGCUCCUAUUUCUAUUUCUGCACCACAGUCCUCACAUGAACAUUUAAAAGCAUAGGGUUGGUAGAAGCAAAAAAGUUAAUAUCCUCACAAAGAGAUAUUCUGUCCAUUUAAUUAUCAAGGCUUUGUUUUUCAGUGGAUGCCCUUUGAUGAGCAGUCACAAGAAACACAAACGCACACAUUCUCUGUGCUUAUCCAUGGAGGCCCAUCGCUUAGGCUAUGCAUCUCUAUAAAUCCUUGUCCCCACUUUAAACAUUCAGAAAAUCGUAUCACAUUUUUAUUUAUCAGUAAAGAGAGUUUCAUAACUCAAAAACAAAGGGAAAAUAUUAUCACAGAAUCUUUUGCAAAUUUUAAAAUAAACUAGAAAGAAGUUAGAGCCACUGAUAACUUUAAAAUCAGAAUUCAGAGACAAACUGUAUUCAGUAAAAAGCAAUAAAUUUCAUUAAAAUAUAAUUUACAAAAGCAACUCAAAUAUAAAGUACAUAGAAAUGAAUAUAACAAAAUAAAGAGAAGAGGUAUAUUGAGAAAAUUAUGAAGCUGGAUGGUGGUGGCACACACCUUUAAUCCCAGAACUCCAGAGUCAGAAGCAGGUGGAUCUAUGUGAGUUUGAGGCCAGCUUGAUCUACAAAGCUACACAGAGAAAUCCUGUCUCAAAAAAUAAAGAAAGAAAAUUAUAAAAUGUUAUGGAAAGACAAAAAAGAAAAUUCACGACUGAGAGAUGGCUCAGCAGGUACAGGUAGCAACCCCUCAGUCAGACAACCUGAGUUCAGUCCCCAGGAUGCAGAUAGUGGAAGGAAAAAACCAACUCCCACAAGUUGUUCUCUGACCGCCACAAGUACUUUGUGGUAUGUACACACACACACACAUACACACACACACACACACAAAAAAAAAAAAACAGACAACACACAUAAAUAUUCACACAUACAGUAAAUACAACUAAUUUUUUUGUUAAUAGUUGUUAAAUAAAAUAAUAUAUAUAUAUAUAUAAUUCAUUCAUAAGCAUAAAAUUUCACCAUUCUAAAAUGAUCAAUUUCCCUAAGAACAAUUUCUAUAUUUGUGCUACUUAUAGCAAAACCUUAUUUAGUUUCCAAGAAAAAAUAUAAUUUUUCUUGGAAUUAAACAAAUUAAUUCUUUUUUUUUUUUUUUGGUUCUUCGAGACAGGGUUUCUGUGUGUAGCUUUGGAGCCUAUCCUGGCACUCACUCUGGAGACCAGGCUGGCCUCGAACUCACAGAGAUCCGUCUGCCUCUGCCUCCAGAGUGCUGGGAUUAAAGGUAUUCGCCACCAACGCCUGGCACAAAUUAAUUCUAACAUUAGUUGAAUCAAUAGCUGCUUGAUAUUUCAAAACUAAUUCUAAAACACAAACUAGCUACAAGGUACAUUUUCCUAUUAGACUUGGGACUUUAUAUGGUUGUAAUAAACUCUAGACAGUGGUGGUACAUGCCUUUAAACCCAGCACACGAAAGCAGAGUCAGGUGGAUCUUUGAGUUCAUGUCAGCCUGGACUACAGAAUGAGUUCCAGAACAGCCAGAGCUACACACAGAAACCCUGUCUCUAGCCUCACCCCAAACAAAAGGAUUGCAGUAAGUGUAGCACUUACAUAGGACCUGAGGAGCAGAAAAGUAAUGACAAUGGACUAGAGCCAGAAACAUUCGUGUGGGGAUUAUGGUGUAUGAGCAAUGUGGAGAUGAAAAGUUCACACACAAAAAGAUGUGGUUCAGUUAUCUAGUCGUGGAAAAUAAAAUCUAGUACAUUGUUUUACAACACUAGAAGAAACAACCCCCAAAGACUUUGACUAUCAAACUUAGGAAACCAAUUCUGUGAUGUGCUUUAGAAACAUCUAACCAAAUAUCUCUAGGAAGCUGUGGAAGCAAAUUUUUUCAAAGAUAGUAAAAAAAGAAAAGUGACAUGCUUGAUCAUGAAACAAUUUUAUGUUUAUAAUAUAAAUUUUUAUCAUGUACAAAGUUUCACAUGGUCCAAAAUUUGUACCAGAUAUUUUGUGUGUGUAAACAAAUUAUGGAACACAGAAAAUAAAGCAUGUCCACAGUCAAUUUUAAGAAAAUAAUUGGCACAAGAUUAUAUAUAUAUAUAUAUAUAUAUAUAUAUAUAUAUAUAUAUGUAUAUAUAUGUAUAUAUAUAAAUAUAUAUGUAUAUAUAUACGUAUAUAUAUACAUAUACAUAUAUAUAUAUGAGUUUAUAUCAAAGAAAUUUAGUCUGUAUAAAACAAGACUGCCAGCAAGUCAAGAUUUUAGAGAAAAAGUAAUUUAAAGAGAAAAGAUUUAACUGAAUUGAACAGAUCAUUCUUUGAAUGUUGGAGAAACUACUGACCAGCCUACAAAAGCUGCAGUUGCCCUGCCCUGAGCCAAGUUUGCCACUAUGACCAGAGACUGCUGACAAGACACCUGACCAGAGACACUAAUGAGGAAAAGACAUCACAGCAGAGUCAGCCUCCUGAGCCAAUAGAACCUUGGGAGGGGGUAUAAAAGCAGGUCUAACUUCCUUAAUAAACUAGUCUGCUGCACACUAUGCUACUCACUGACUCCCAGUGCCUGAGUCAUUAGACCUUCUCACUCCCUUCCCCAGAGGGUAUCUGAACAGGGUUACCUGCAAUACUAGAAGACAAAAUAACUAAGAAAUAUGAAAAUCUCACUGACUCACGGGAAAUCAUUAAAAUAUGUACAGAAGCAAAGAGAGUUUAUUGUGCAUGUAUCAAAUGACUGAUAAAACUGACAUUUAUAAAACCAAUUUGGGGAGUAAAAACUUGAAGGAACUGAAACAUACAUCUAAAAUCCACUGAAAUCCAGCCCCAAAGUUUGAACUUAUAAAACUUCAGAAAAGUAAUAAAGAGCCGAGAACAGCACAAAUAAUGAAGUAAGUUUGCAUAGCAAAAUACUAUGAAAUUAACAUAUGCUAACAAUUUUGUUUAUAUUAAAUUGUAAUUCUGGGGUGACAUACAAACGAACACAUGAGAUCUUUGAAGCACAGUGGAAUGUAAGGAAAAGCAAGUCCAAGUUAGCCACAUUGAGGGGAAAAUGUAGAAGUGAAAUUGUGCAGCAGAGGAAGCAUAUUAUAACUGGUAUUCUAGAAAUAUAAUAAUUAUUGGAAAAGUGAGGUCUUUUAUUGAUUCUGUACAUAAGGUAAAUGGGUUUCUAGUACUAACUUUUGGUAAACAAGAUGUGUACUAUGUCUUUGAAAAAUUUAUUAAUGGUGACCACAGAAAUAGUACAGUUUGUAAAAUAAAACUUGGAGUGGUUGAGAGAAUGACGAGUCAAUGACAGGUGGUAUGGAAAAGCAAGAGAGAAACGGGUUCAAUUUAGCAGUAAAGCCACCGAUAGGGAAAUGUGUUAUAUACCAAGAACAGAAAGAAAAUGUGGGCCAGGUUUAUACAGUUUGGAAAAUCAUGUUUGGAGUCUGCUGGUAGAUGUUGAGAUAUAAGCUUGCAUCGUGCCUUUGUUUCCGGUGAAAGCGGAAGCUGCUGGAAUCUUCUAUCAUUGCCUCUGAAAUUGAUUCUGGUGGGACUCACAGGAUGCUGUCACAGGAUGCUGAGUUGAAAUAAUAAUAUGUUGGGGUGCUUGUUAGAGAAGGGAGUCCAAAAAGCACUAAUGGCCUUACACUGCUAUGCCCUCUGAGGUCCACAUUUGCACCUCUGUGCAGACAAUUGUCGACUUCGUGUACUGUAAUAUCUCCCUCUUGAAAAUGGGUGCUUCCAGAAAAUGAAGUCUUAACCAGGAAUUUGAGGGAACAGCUUUGUUUGGGCAAAAGACCAUCUUUAGCUCCCCUUGGAAACUGAUUCCAAGAGAAAUGUAGGAGGGACACACAAACAACUUGGAAGGUAUGAAGAGAGGUGGUGCUCACUUUUAGAAUUUAUGGUCCUAGAAGUAUACACCUGAGAGAUGAACACCAGCUGUCACACAGUACAUAAUAAGAGGGCCUCCAUGUCAGAAAUGAUAAAGCAAUUCAUAUCUGAUGGCUUCAAUUUUCAGUUUGAAAUAUGAAGCUAGGUCAUCAGCAGAGAGUGAUGAAGAGAGGGUUUGAGAAGGGAAUUAGAUUUGAGGUGCUUAUCUUGAACUAUGACAAAAAGAGCAGUUAGAGCCACCUGGACAAGGUCCUAGAGAAUUCUCUCAACUUAGUGACCAUGUGAAAAAGCAGAGUCUGUUAUGUUUUUUAACUUCCUCAGAUGGAGUCAUGUGCCUCUGGGACUAUUGGUAAGGAAAGGGAUCAAUGAUUUCAAUUGGGAAUGGACAUUUUAACAAUAUCUAAGAAAAUAAUAAAGCAACACAUUGAAUGUGUUUGUGGUUUGUAGCCAUUGACUUCAUGGAGAUUUACUAGAGGUGCAAUAGGAAAUUAAUGCCAGUUGCUACUAAUAUUUAAAAUCAACAGUUUUUAACCUUCUUUGAAAGAAUAACUCACAUGUUGAAGGAAAAAUAGAAGUAUAAAACUCCUCAAUCAACAGUUCUGAACAUGUAUGACUAUACCCUACUUAAAGGAUUUAAAAGUGACUGAAGUGACAAUGCUUAAGAGUAAAUUUUCUUUAAAUUCUCCAAAUACAUUCAACUAUUCAUUUCAAAAUUAUAGUUCCUAAAACAUCUUUUCCAAUUAAAGAAAUAUGUCUCCAUAUGUCUGUGAGCUAUGCACAUCAAUAUACCAUAUUUUAUUGAUUUAUAACUCAUAUUCUCAUUUAGCAUCUCUGGUAUUAGAAAAAUUUUAUAACUAAUAACAUAUUGUACUUAAUGAAAUGUGAUGGAUCAAAGAAAAAUGUCUAAAGACCUUACUAUUUUCUUUAGAAGAAUUUAUAUUCCUCUCUCUUAGUUGCUUGUUGGGCCAGAUGUAAAGGUGACUCUAGAGACAGACCAGUUUAACAAAACCUAAAGCCUUAUUAUUUGGGAGUCAUUUUACAAACAUUUUUAAAGUAAUAAAAUUAUGCACUGACAUGAAUAUUUUUUAAAGAAUGAAAGUGCAAGCUACAAGCUUUUCAAAAGGUAAAUAUUACCACAAACACCAGAGAACCCAUAAACUAAAGAAAAUGUUUGGUUACAAAACUGUAUGGCAUCUCUUCAUGAAGCUUGCAUCCUAUGCAUUUUGGACACAUACUCAUUGUUUAUAAGACUUCACAAGACAACAAUUUUACAAUAUUGUUUUUGAUAGAAAGAAGGGCUUAGAUUGUAGUGCCUGUGGCUAGCAUAUAGAAAGAUAAUUUAAUCUUCUGCAAUGGUUGACUGAAUUUAAUUUUUCUUUGUUAUUAAUAAUCUACAUGCUUUAUUUUUAGCUUCAAAAUGAAUUACUGGCAAUGUCACUUAAACUGUAAAGACUUUUUAAGAAGUAUUUUAUCAAAGACAAUUUUAAUAUGAGUUCCCAGAUUUGGAAGACUACUUUUUUUCCUAAUCCAGUAACAGCUAUUAUAACCUUGCCUUCCCUCUAUCAUUGGCUUACUUCCUGGGACAACCACCUUCAAGUAGGAACAGUGUCCACCCAGUAAGUUCUCAGACCCUCAACCUCUGUUACAUUCCCUUGAUAAAUCCACAUAUAUACUAAACUAAUUACAAUUAGCCAUGGAAGUCUGAGAACCUCAUAAUUUUAAACUAAGCUCAAACAAAAUAGUUUCUAAUUUAAAUUAUCACUAGUCAUAUUCCCCAAAUAGCUGUAGCUGUAGCCACUGGACAUGAGCCAAGACCUGAGCAGGUGGGAACAUGGAAACAGAGUAGCAAAAGCCUUUAGCCUUAGCCUACUAUAAUUAAGAAUUCCAAUAGUACAACAAUUCUGAAGACAGAUACUUAAGUGGAAUAUAUUACUAGGGUCCAUUUCAAUUCCUUAAAACAGGUACAUUGAAAGAGUAAACCAAGAACCAUUGACAACUAAGCAAAUCUCACUGGUAGAGAUAAAUAAAUUAUAUACUGCUAAAGGGAGAAGCAGAAAAACAAAGAGGCACUCAAACAUAAAACUACACAUUGGAAUAGGAAUUCUAAAACAAAAUAGAUUUGAAAAGCAAUAAACUUAGCCAUGACAAUAAAGCAAUCGCUGAGAGUAAGUUUUAGUUUUAGAAAAACGAAAAUAUAUUUUCUGUGUCCCCUGACUUUAUAGCUCAAAUCCCUGGGUAUUACAUAUACAAAACUAAUACUAAGUAACACACUUGAGAAGUGGAGACAGGCAGUCAGAUGAGCAAUAACCUGAGGUUCUAAUGAAAAAUACAUUGCAAAGUCCCCGUAUUUUUUCCCCUAAUAUGUUGCAACUUGAAAAUGCCAAUGGAGGCAGGCCAGAAGUUCAACCAAUGCCUAUUCACUCCACUCAAAUAGUAAAGAGGAGAGUCAGGCUAGAAAAUCCAAACCACGAUGGAAAAGCAAAGGAUUUGUCUUAUUUGCACUCAUACCUGAAAAGGCUGUGUGGGAAGAUUGGAACGCCACCCCAAUAGUCUGUAUGAAGGUAUUCAGUGCUUCCCCCUGGGAUAGAGCAGAUCAUGCUGCAGGGACCAGGGCUUCUCCCAAGGCUUGGCAGUCAUGUCAGCAGCAGCAUCUCCCAUGGUGUUCCUGGAUCAAGUGAGGAUCCUGAACUCCAUUCCUACCUAGAAUUACCAAGGGUCCUCCUUCCAUCACUUUGGGCUGAUGACAUAUAAGACUAAAGAGAAGGGAGGGCUUUGAUCACCUCCCAGAAUUCAGUGGAAACCAGAUGGUAUCAAUGGAGACCAGAUGGGGAGUGGUGACAAGAAUUGUAUCUGCAGGGACAGCCAGAGAACCAGAACUGCCAGCCAUGCCCAGCAGUUAUAAGCUUCUGUACCAUUUGGUAUCUGUGAAUGAAAACUAGAGAAUUUAGACUUCUACCAUCACUUGGCACUAAUAAAGUGGGGCCCCACUGCCAUUGCUGAAGGGAUAGCAGAAGAAGCCAGCUAAAGGAAAAUUAAUAAAAUCCAUAACCUCACAAGUUAAUGAAAAUGCUCAUAUUUUGAUACAAAAAUAUGAAUCAACUCAAAACACAAUAGACACCAACUUUAGGACAAUAGUAAUCCUAGAAUUGUUGGACAAGUAAAUAUCAUAAAAAUUAUUCAGUGCACACAUACAAAUAGACAUACAUCAGUUGAGAGAGGCAGAGAGACACAGAAAGACUCAGUAAAGCCAUAGACCAUGUAAAAUAUAUUUACAGUUAUCUUUGGUUAUAUAUAAUAACUACAUUUUUUAAAACUCAGCAAAGAGCAAGAACAAAAUAACAGAAAAAAAUCAAAGGAAAAUGAUAAAUCUUUCCGCCAAAAGCCGCUGAGCCCCACCGCCAUGUGUACGCUUUAGGCCAGCCACCUGACCGAGUUAGGCCCAAAUGAAUACACAGAAACUUGUAUUAGGUACAAAGCUUCUUGGCCAAUGACUAGGACUUCUCAUCUGCUAGCUCAGUCUUAAUUAUCAUAAAUCUAUAUAUUUUAUAAGACUUAUCUUAUCGGAUGCCUUAUUGGUGUACCUCCUUGCUGGUGGAUCACAUUGUGCCACUGGAGCAGGAUCGGAG